ACUCAUAUGGAUUUCUAAUGUUUUCUUCAUGGAUUUUGAGUAAUUUGCAGGUCUAAUUACAUCGCACAUAAGUUUACGUUAUGCAUCACAUCACAAGUUCAAGUGGGUUUCAAAGCAUUAGUAAAACAAUAAGCGUAGCAUCAACUUUUCCACCGCCUUAGUAAUUGUUUCACACUUAUCCCUGACCAUUGAGGAAGAUGCUGCUUGUUAGCUGGAAGCUAAAAGGGAUAUAUGCCACUGAAGUUGUGCUUGGUGGUUACAAUUUAUGGUGAAUUGGUACCAGUUAAAACAUGUAAUCAUGGUGAUUGAACUGGGGUUAUGUUCUUGUACCAAAGAUGGGAGAGGAAUUAUACAGUUUUUGUAUGUGAUCAAGAGGCCAUUGAAGACCUCCAUGACAAAUAAUUGAAGGUAUAAAACUAUAAUCUUAUCAUUCUUAUGGAACUGUGUGUUUUGUCUUCUUCUGGUCAUAUUUCCCAAGAACAAUUUAUGGUUUCCUUUUCACUGUUACCAUUCUAGUUAUCUUCUUUCUUUGCUUGAUUUUAGUUUCCUGUUGUUAUUCAAGAUUAACCAGUUUCUGUAUUCUACUUAUGUCUGUUUGUUAGGUGUCUGUGUGUUUUGAAUUAGAGUUUCUCUCACUCUUGGUAGUCAGUUCUGUUUCUCACACUAAUUAAAGAGACUUUGUUAAGUGUCUGUUUGUAUUGAUGAUAUGUUUAUAUUAUCGAUUACACCGCUGUUCCACUUUGCUUGAUUAGUUUCUAUUUUGAAUUUGUUGGUCAUUGUAGAAUUGUGGAAAUUGAUGUGAUGUGUAUAGAAUUUAGGUCUGUUGUAUAACUUACAUUAUGCUUGUAAUAGUUAUAAUUAUGUUCUUGUGCUUCUAGGGCUUUCUGAAUCAAAACAAGUCGGAGCAAGUUAAAUCUCUUUUCUCUCCCUUCUCAAGAUGCUUAAACAUGGGAAUCGCCAGUUGUUAGGGUUUUGCUAAGUUUGUAUGUUCCAUUGAUUUCCGGUUGAGAAUUGGAUUAUAGUUGAAGCAUAUGCGUUUUAUACUGGAUGAAUUUUUGUUAUGCGUUUUGUACCGGAUGAAUUUUUGUUAUGCGUUUUAUACUGGAUGAAUUUUUGUUAUGUGUUUGGUACUGGAUGAAUUUUUGUUUGAUUGAAGCAAAAUGAUUGUUAAUUUCGAUCUUUUUUGUCUAUUGUUGUCUGAAUGACCAAUCAUUCUGUUGCAAAUUGCAACACAUAUGAAACUGGCUAUUCUAAAUUGAUUGUGUGACAUCUAUAUUCGCAAAAAAAGUAGAUUAUGAACAUCUCACCUGAUCUUUGUGAGUUGCAGAAUGCAAUAAGAGCUAUGCCACCUUAAGAUGUGGUUGCUAAUGUCUUAAAGGGCAAAUGGGAUCAUGAGAGGACCAAAUCUUCUUUACCGUGAUCGCUAAAUCCAGUUAUGUUUUAUCAUUUUAUUUUAUGCUUACUUUCAGUAAUUAUGUAUUAAAAUUGUUAUGCAUGUGAAGUAUGCAGUAUAUAUUUGAAGGCUUUGUAAUCAACCCUCUUGCAACUUGUAGUUACUAAGUGAACCAGGUACCACCUGAGGAUCAUCUACUCCAUUUAGGUUGGUGCUGUCAAAAGUUGGUAGAAAUCUGACUCCCAAAUGUCACUGGAUACAUGGAAACGAUUAUCAGCGGCAAAUACAUCUCUUAUAUUAAAGGUGUCAUUGAGAAAUAAAUAAGGUAUCAUUUACAGCUGCAGCGUGUAGUCCUGGCUAAACGGGUAGGUUGGGUCAUGUGUCAGAACGGUUUCGUACAAAACAUGUCAAAUUUGGUUUGGUCAAACCGGGUUAAGACCAAAAAAUAGGUUCUGGUCAAGUCAAAACGAAGGUUUUAGAAAAAUCAAAUGACCAAAAUCAUCUUUAUUGUUGAUUUUAAAUGCGUUACUGUUUUUUCGAACAUAUUCUUAUUUCUUUGUAACUGGCAAUAGGAAUUUAGAUUCAGACGCCAUCAAGAUUGAGUAACCAGCCUCUUUUUUUGAAUCUGCUCUUCAAGUUGCUUUAUGAUGUCUUUGUGAUUUCACUUUGUAUUAUGAUUUAUGUUGGAUAUAUAAAGGUAACCAUAUAUUU
rnacentral:lncRNA from 1 species